AAUCGAGAACAUUAUUUAGGCGACACUGUGAAGAUGAACUCUUCUCCAGGCUUAGUGACUGUGAUGCUCUUACUGCUUGGAAGAACCCAUGGAGACUCAGUGACCCAGAGGGAGGGUGAAGUGACCCUCUCAGAAGGGGAUCUCCUGACAAUAAACUGCACUUAUACAGCCUCAGUGUAUCCUACCCUUUUUUGGUACAUCCAAUAUCCAGGUGAAGGUCCUCAGCUCCUCCUGAAAGCUGCAAAGGCCAAUGAUAAAGGGGUCAACAAAGGUUUCGAAGCAAAGUAUCAUAAAGAAACCACCUCCUUCCACUUGCAGAAAGCCUCAGUCCAGGAGUCAGAUUCAGCUGUGUACUACUGUGCUCUGAGUGACACAGUGGCAGGAACUGCAGGGGGAGCUGAGCACAAACUCUGA